UACGGGGGGGGCAAGCGGUUGUUCGGAAUUACUGGGCGUAAAGGGCUCGUAGGCGGCCAACUAAGUCGGACGUGAAAUCCCUCGGCUUAACCGGGGAACUGCGUCCGAUACUGGAUGGCUUGGAUUCGGGAGAGGAAUGCGGAAUUCCAGGUGUAGCGGUGAAAUGCGUAGAUAUCUGGAGGAACACCGGUGGCGAAGGCGAGCUGCGUGGACCCCUCCGUGACGCUGACGGCGCGAAAGCCAGGGUAGCGAACGGGAUUAAGAUGACCCU
rnacentral:rRNA from 1 species